rnacentral:rRNA from 1 species
UAGGGAAUCUUCCGCAAUGGGCGAAAGCCUGACGGAGCAACGCCGCGUGAGUGAUGAAGGUCUUCGGAUCGUAAAACUCUGUUAUUAGGGAAGAACAAAUGUGUAAGUAACUAUGCACGUCUUGACGGUACCUAAUCAGAAAGCCACGGCUAACUACGUGCCAGCAGCCGCGGUAAUACGUAGGUGGCAAGCGUUAUCCGGAAUUAUUGGGCGUAAAGCGCGCGUAGGCGGUUUUUUAAGUCUGAUGUGAAAGCCCACGGCUCAACCGUGGAGGGUCAUUGGAAACUGGAAAACUUGAGUGCAGAAGAGGAAAGUGGAAUUCCAUGUGUAGCGGUGAAAUGCGCAGAGAUAUGGGGGAACCCCAGUGGCGAAGGCGACUUUCUGGUCUGUAACUGACGCUGAUGUGCGAAAGCGUGGGGAUCAAACAGG